UCCCCAGUCCCCUCCUCCAUUCUAUCCUGGCUCAGGAGGGCAGUGCUUAAUUUUGGUCUAGGCCUCUCAGUGUGUCCUGAUCAUAAAUAUUUUAUGUUAGAGAGGAGAUUUCUGUUGCAGGUCUAAAUAUAUUUUUAGAUGUUACUUUCCAGAACCCAAUGCAGGUUCCCUCUUCAUCUCCACUGUGCAGAUGAUAACACACACCUUGGAAAGGUGCAGGUCCCACCGCAGGGCACAGCUCCUGAGUGGUAGAGGACAAUGGAAUUUCUUAUUUGUCAAGUGCACACAGAGUGCUGGAAGAUCCAUGAGGUGAUGGAAGUUUCUGCCUUGGCUGCAAGCUCCUGGGAAAUCAAGAGCCAUGAUUUGGCAGCUUCCCCAGGAGAGAGUCCGGAAAGACCAGGGACAAUGAAAGUGGAGGAGCAGCCAGGAAAGGAGAAGCCACUGUGUCUGCAGGACAGGGGCUCCCAGAGCAAAGGGGAGAUAAAGGGGACACCUGUGACCUCAGGGAGGACACUGCACAUGGCAGGGACACCAUUUUAGCACAACUGGGUGUGUGAGGAGAGGGCACUGUGAGAAGUCAAGUGCCUGGAGCUGUGGCAGAGAAAGAGGCAGCAUCUGCAAGAGCUGAAGACCCUUUCAUUCCAGGUGUGAGAUCAUGGUCACUGGCUCCUGCUGCAUGUCAGCGUCUCCCUGUCACCCAGGCCCGCCCCAUCGCCAGGUGGCUUUGCCAGGUAACUCUCUGCUUCCCCCUGGUGGCCGCUCCACACUGUGGGCUGGGGGCUCAGGGACUUCCUGGGUCUAGGUGUGGAUUCAGAACCUGCUGUUCAGGUCCCUGAUGCCCUGAUCCGAGGACUGCUGGUCCCAGGGGAGGAACACCUCUUCUCUGUGUGGCCCCUGCCUGACUCAAGAUCAGGUACAAGGGGCUCAGCUUACCCAAUAAAAUACAAAAGUA